AUACGGAGGGUGCGAGCGUUAAUCGGAAUUACAGGGCGUAAAGCGCGCGUAGGCGGAUAUUUAAGUCUCAUGUGAAAGCCCUGGGCUCAACCUGGGAACUGCAUGGGAUACUGGGUAUCUAGAAUACAGUAGAGGGUAGUGGAAUUUCAGGUGUAGCGGUGAAAUGCGUAGAGAUCUGAAGGAACAUCAGUGGCGAAGGCGACUACCUGGACUGAUAUUGACGCUGAGGUGCGAAAGCGUGGGGAGCAAACGGGAUUAGAAACCCCUGUAGUCC
rnacentral:rRNA from 1 species